AUUGAACGCUGGCGGCAUGCCUAACACAUGCAAGUCGAACGGUAACAGGCCCGCAAGGGUGCUGACGAGUGGCAGACGGGUGAGUAAUACGUAGGAAUCUGCCCUGUAGUGGGGGAUAGCCCGGCGAAAGCCGGAUUAAUACCGCAUACGCUCUACGGAGGAAAGCGGGGGAUCGCAAGACCUCGCGCUAUUGGAUGAGCCUACGUCUGAUUAGCUAGUUGGUAGGGUAACGGCCUACCAAGGCGACGAUCAGUAGCUGGUCUGAGAGGAUGAUCAGCCACACCGGAACUGAGACACGGUCCGGACUCCUACGGGAGGCAGCAGUGGGGAAUAUUGGACAAUGGGGGAAACCCUGAUCCAGCAAUGCCGCGUGUGUGAAGAAGGCCUGCGGGUUGUAAAGCACUUUUGUUGGGGAAGGAAAGCCGUCGGCGAAUAUCCGGCGGUCUUGACGGUACCCAAAGAAUAAAGCACCGGCUAACUCCGUGCCAGCAGCCGCGGUAAUACGGGA
rnacentral:rRNA from 1 species